rnacentral:misc_RNA from 1 species
CGCACAUUGCGCCCCUUGGCAUUCCGAGGGGCAUGCCCGUUCGAGCGUCAUUAAAUCCAAUCAAGCCUGGCUUGGUGUUGGGCGCCGGGACCGUCCCGCGCCUCAAUUUCGUCGGCAGCCCGUUGGCCCAAUAUUAACCGUGUUGUGACCUUAGUAUUUCACGCUUUGAGGGGCGGGCCACGCCGUUAAACGUUCAAUUCAAUUGAUUAAGGUUGACCUCGGAUCGGGUAGGAAUACCCGCUGAACUUAA